AGCUCCGGCGGUUAGAGAUGGGCAUGCGUGUCAUUAGCUAGUUGGUGAGGUAACGGCUCACCAAGGCCACGAUGACUAGGGGGUCUGAGAGGAUGAUCCCCCACACUGGUACUGAGACACGGACCAGACUCCUACGGGAGGCAGCAGUGAGGAAUAUUGGGCAAUGGACGCAAGUCUGACCCAGCCAUGCCGCGUGCAGGAUGACUGCCCUAUGGGUUGUAAACUGCUUUUGUUUGGGAAGAAACCCCCGAUCGUGAUCGGGGCUGACGGUACCAUACGAAUAAGCAUCGGCUAACUCCGUGCCAGCAGCCGCGGUAAUACGGAGGAUGCAAGCGUUAUCCGGAUUCAUUGGGUUUAAAGGGUGCGCAGGCGGAAUAUUAAGUCAGUGGUGAAAUCCUGCAGCUUAACUGUAGAACUGCCAUUGAUACUGAUAUUCUUGAAUAUAGUUGAGGUAGGCGGAAUGUGUAAUGUAGCGGUGAAAUGCUUAGAUAUUACACAGAACACCAAUUGCGAAGGCAGCUCACUAAACUAAUAUUGACGCUGAGGCACGAAAGCGUGGGUAGCAAACAGGAUUAGAUACCCUGGUAGUCCACGCUGUAAACUAUGAUCACUCGCUGUUGACAAUACAUCGUCAGCGGCUGAGCGAAAGCAUUAAGUGAUCCACCUGGGGAGUACGGUCGCAAGAUUGAAACUCAAAGGAAUUGACGGGGGCCCGCACAAGCGGAGGAACAUGUGGUUUAAUUCGAUGAUACGCGAGGAACCUUACCUGGGCUUAAAUGCAGAGCGACGUCCGCCGAAAGGUGGAUUCCUUCGGGCGAUCUGCAAGGUGCUGCAUGGUUGUCGUCAGCUCGUGCCGUGAGGUGUCGGGUUAAGUCCCAUAACGAGCGCAACCCUUAUCGUUAGUUGCCAGCGGGUAAUGCCGGGGACUCUAACGAAACUGCCGGUGUCCACCGUGAGGAAGGUGGGGAUGACGUCAAAUCAGCACGGCCCUUAUGUCCAGGGCUACACACGUGUUACAAUGGUCGGUACAGAGGGCAGCUACCACGCGAGUGGAUGCUAAUCUCGAAAACCGGUCUCAGUUCGGAUUGAAGUCUGCAACUCGACUUCAUGAAGCUGGAUUCGCUAGUAAUCGCGCAUCAGCCAUGGCGCGGUGAUACGUUCCCGGGCCUUGUACACACCGCCCGUCAAGCCAUGAAGCUUGGG
rnacentral:rRNA from 1 species